CCUACGGGAGGCUGCAGUGAGGAAUAUUGGUCAAUGGGCGCAAGCCUGAACCAGCCAUCCCGCGUGCAGGAAGACGGCCCUAUGGGUUGUAAACUGCUUUUCCAGGGGGAGAAUUUUUCUGUCGUGACAGGAAUUGACGGUACCCUGGGAAUAAGCAUCGGCUAACUCCGUGCCAGCAGCCGCGGUAAUACGGAGGAUGCGAGCGUUAUCCGGAUUUAUUGGGUUUAAAGGGUGCGUAGGCGGAUAGAUAAGUCAGUGGUGAAAACCUGCAGCUUAACUGUAGACUUGCCGUUGAUACUGUCAGUCUUGAGUAUGGUCAAGGUAGGCGGAAUGUGUAAUGUAGCGGUGAAAUGCUUAGAUAUUACACAGAACACCGAUUGCGAAGGCAGCUUACUGGGCCAUUACUGACGCUGAUGCACGAAAGCGUGGGGAUCGAACAGGAUUAGAUACCCGUGUAGUC
rnacentral:rRNA from 1 species